rnacentral:rRNA from 1 species
AUUGAACGCUGGCGGCAUGCUUUACACAUGCAAGUCGAACGGUAACAGGCCUUCGGGUGCUGACGAGUGGCGAACGGGUGAGUAAUGCAUCGGAACGUACCCAGAGGUGGGGGAUAACGCAGCGAAAGCUGUGCUAAUACCGCAUGUGAUCUGAGGAUGAAAGCGGGGGACCGAGCAGCAAUGUUUGGCCUCGCGCCUUUGGAGCGGCCGAUGUCGGAUUAGCUAGUUGGUGGGGUAAAGGCCUACCAAGGCGACGAUCCGUAGCUGGUCUGAGAGGACGGUCAGCCACACUGGGACUGAGACACGGCCCAGACUCCUACGGGAGGCAGCAGUAGGGAAUUUUGGACAAUGGGCGCAAGCCUGAUCCAGCAAUGCCGCGUGCGGGAAGAAGGCCUUCGGGUUGUAAACCGCUUUUGGCAGGAACGAAACGGUGUCCGCUAAUACCGGGCGCUAAUGACGGUACCUGCAGAAUAAGCACCGGCUAACUACGUG